GAUGAACGUUGGCGGUGUGCCUAAUACAUGCAAGUCGAACGGAGUUAAUAGCAAUAUUGACUUAGUGGCGUACGGGUGAGUAACGCGUUGGUGAUCUGCCUUGAAGUGUGGAAUAACGCUCCGAAAGGAGCGCUAAUACCGCAUGUGCUCUCAAUUUUUAGAAAGUUGAGAGGAAAGGAUUUAUUCGCUUCGAGAGGAGCCUGCGUCCCAUCAGCUGGUUGGUAGGGUAAAGGCCUACCAAGGCAAUGACGGGUAGGGGACCUGAGAGGGUGGCCCCCACAAUGGAACUGAAACACGGUCCAUACACUACGGGUGGCAGCAGUAGGGAAUAUUAGAAAUGGACGAAAGUCUGAUCUAGCAACACCGCGUGUGCGAAGAAGGCCUUCGGGUCGUAAAGCACUUUUUGGAAGGAAUAGGAAGGGAAAUGUACUUCCAGAAUAAAGUACUCGGCUAACUAACGUGCCAGCAAGCCGCGGUAAACUCUCGUCUCUA
rnacentral:rRNA from 1 species